AUGACUGACGAAGUGGGGCCAGUGCCUUUAGUAGUGUUUAAUGGCCCCAGUGUUAUUAUCAUGUCUGAAUGGUCAGUCAGUGUUCUGAAGGAGUGCAGUCCUGCACCGCUGCGCCUUUUGUUACCCUCUUUUCCCUGUGGUCUAGAUACAGGCAAGGCAUGGCCUAGUUAACUUUAAAAAUAAUCCACUAAACCAGGCCAAUGCUUCCUGAUUCACAUUCCCUUUGUUCAUUUGCGUAAUUGAAACAGACCCAAGAUCCUGAUAAGAAGCAGCGCCAGAAUAAUUCCUCAGACUGGAGCCAAAAUGACUUCAUUCCUUUGAUCUUAAAAUGCCUCUUACCGAAAACAUUAGCUACUGAGGAAAGGGUGUGCAUUGAUCUGGCAUCACACUGUGAUAAGUGACCAUAAUGAAUUAAGAUUAGGUACAGUACUAUUACUAGCAUUUAGCUAUAGAGAUGUGAAAAAAACUAGGAAAUAAGUAAAAAUAAGUGUGUGCUUGGACCUUAUUUUGUAUCACAUGAUCAUGGGUAGCUUCUUAACCAGAUGCUUUACUACUCUCUGAAUGUUGUUAAUGUCAUUUCUCUG